GGACACUGUUCCAGAACCCAACUCCCUCCUCCCCAGGGUCAACGGCUGCACCCUAUCCUAAAGACCUUUAUAUAAAGGAUUCCUCAGUGACUUCUGGUGGCAGACAAUGACACAUAAAAAAAUACAAAGCCAGAGAAACUUUAGGGGAAAUGCUUGGUAAAAUUUUAAACUCCAUGUUCCUGAUGGGACCUGACGAUCAUCCUGGUGUCCGGCUUCGCCCGAGAAAGGCCCAGCCCAGACACGCUGUUCUAGCAACCCAGAGCCGUGGGCAAGGAGGUCGCAGUGGGAGGGUGAAGACUGAUGUUCCAGGCUCGCCAGGUAUCCAGCAUGAAGAACUGCUCUGAGGGAGUUUCUACAGACAUGUGAAAUGCAGGUGUUGGAGGCAAGGUACGCAGCUCAGGUCUGCUGUUUCCUGUGAGUGUCCUCCACAUGCUGAAACCUGCAGCAGCGCUGAGCUCACAUCAUUUUCUUCUCUAAUGAACAUGACUUACGCCAAAGGAUUAAAUGUCUAAUUUUCAUAGUGAAAA